GGUCCCGUAGCUCAAAUGGAUAGAGCAGCGGUUUCCUAAACCGCGGAUCCCCGUUCAAUUCGGGGCGGGGCUACCA
rnacentral:tRNA from 1 species